rnacentral:lncRNA from 1 species
GAGAAGCAUCAACAUGGUUGCAUCAUCCACCAUGUUGGGAAGCGUCGUCACCUCGGAGGAGAGGUCAGCGUCCCAUCUCUGGGCCAACUCACUUGAACUCUAAGGCGUACGCCACUUGCCUCCCUUUGGUGAGGCUGAACGCCACUGGGAGAAGCCUCAAUAUGGAUGAAUCAUCCACCAUGUUGAGAAGCGUCGUCACCUCGGAAGAGAGGUCAGCGUCCCAUCUCUGGGCUACCUCGCUUGAAUUUCGAGGCGCAUGUCACUUGCCUCCCUUCGGCGAGGCUGAACCCCAUUGGGAGAAGCCUCAACAUGGUCGAAUUAUCUACCAUGUUUGGAAGCGUCGUCACCUCGGAGGAGAGGUUAGCGUCCCAUCUCUGGUCCACCUCGUUUGAACUCCGAGGCGCACGCCACUUGCCUCCCUUUGGCGGGGUUGAACGCCACUGGGAGAAACCUCAACAUGGGUGCAUCAUCCACCAUUUUGGGAAGUGUCGUCACCUCGGAGGAGAGGUCUGCUUCCCAUCUUUGGGCCACCUCGCUUGAACCUCGAGGCUCACGUAACUUGGCUCCCUUUGGCGAGGCUGACAACCAAGGGGAGAAGCCUCAACGAGAAUUGAACUUCUUGACCAUUUAUCCACGAGGCUCAACCACUACGAGCUUCACGCAACUACCUUUUCAAUCAGACCUAGG